rnacentral:rRNA from 1 species
AUUGAACGCUGGCGGCAGGCCUAACACAUGCAAGUCGAACGAGUGGCGGACGGGUGAGUAAUGUCUGGGAAACUGCCUGAUGGAGGGGGAUAACUACUGGAAACGGUAGCUAAUACCGCUAACCAUCAGAUGUGCCCAGAUGGGAUUAGCUUGUUGGGGGGGUAACGGCUAACAAAGGCGACGAUCCCUAGCUGGUCCGAGAGGGUGACCAGCCACACUGGAACUGAGACACGGUCCAGACUCCUACGUGAGGCAGCAGUAGGGAAUAUUGCGCAAUGGGCGCAAGCCUGAUGCAGCCAUGCCGCGUGUAUGAAGAAGGCCUUCGGGUUGUAAAGUACUUGUAGCGGGGAGGCGUUAUCUGCAGAAGAAGCAACGGCUAACUCCGUGCCAGCAGCCGCGGUAAUUC